CCAGGAGACUUUUAUGUAAUCUUUAGAAAAGAACAGGAGAAAAUGUCUAGAGAGAAAGAGCCAUUCCAGGACCUACAUAUGGAAACAGCUAAAGAGGUACCUGGUGCACCACAGUCUGAAACCACCUUUAACGAAGUUCACAUUUUGGGUUCCCUGGAUGUCUUAGUCCAUUUGUGCUGCUAAAACAGAAUACCACGAGCUGGCCCUCCAAACAACUUCAUGAGAUGUUACUGGUGUCUCAAUUCAUAGAUAAGGAAUGAAGUUCAAAAAGAUCAAAUUGCUGACUCGAGAUUACACAGCAUAUAAAAUCAGACUUUCUUCUGUCUUCAAAUUUUGUUAUUAUCAUGGAGAAAACUUCAGGAUUUAAUCUUUGAUUGAAGAGCAAAGAAGUGGAAAGAAGUGGGAUAUUAGUUUCUGGGACUGAAAGCCACCAUGAAGAAAUGUCUUGGAACUAUCUGUGCCCCUUACAGUGACA